rnacentral:rRNA from 1 species
CGGACGGGUGAGUAAUGUAUGGGGAUCUGCCUGAUGGCGGGGGAUAACUACUGGAAACGGUAGCUAAUACCGCAUAAUGUCUGCGGACCAAAGCGGGGGACCUCCGGGCCUCGCGCCAUCAGAUGAACCCAUAUGGGAUUAGCUAGUAGGUAAGGUAACGGCUUACCUAGGCGACGAUCCCUAGCUGGUCUGAGAGGACGAUCAGCCACACUGGGACUGAGACACGGCCCAG